UUAAGCGACUAAGCGUACACGGUGGAUGCCCUGGCAGUCAGAGGCGAUGAAGGACGUGCUAAUCUGCGAUAAGCGUCGGUAAGGUGAUAUGAACCGUUAUAACCGGCGAUUUCCGAAUGGGGAAACCCAGUGUGUUUCGACACACUAUCAUUAACUGAAUCCAUAGGUUAAUGAGGCGAACCGGGGGAACUGAAACAUCUAAGUACCCCGAGGAAAAGAAAUCAACCGAGAUUCCCCCAGUAGCGGCGAGCGAACGGGGAGCAGCCCAGAGCCUGAAUCAGUAUGUGUGUUAGUGGAAGCGUCUGGAAAGGCGCGCGAUACAGGGUGACAGCCCCGUACACAAAAAUGCACAUAUUGUGAGCUCGAUGAGUAGGGCGGGACACGUGGUAUCCUGUCUGAAUAUGGGGGGACCAUCCUCCAAGGCUAAAUACUCCUGACUGACCGAUAGUGAACCAGUACCGUGAGGGAAAGGCGAAAAGAACCCCGGCGAGGGGAGUGAAAAAGAACCUGAAACCGUGUACGUACAAGCAGUGGGAGCACGCUUAGGCGUGUGACUGCGUACCUUUUGUAUAAUGGGUCAGCGACUUAUAUUCUGUAGCAAGGUUAACCGAAUAGGGGAGCCGAAGGGAAACCGAGUCUUAACUGGGCGUUAAGUUGCAGGGUAUAGACCCGAAACCCGGUGAUCUAGCCAUGGGCAGGUUGAAGGUUGGGUAACACUAACUGGAGGACCGAACCGACUAAUGUUGAAAAAUUAGCGGAUGACUUGUGGCUGGGGGUGAAAGGCCAAUCAAACCGGGAGAUAGCUGGUUCUCCCCGAAAGCUAUUUAGGUAGCGCCUCGUGAAUUCAUCUCCGGGGGUAGAGCACUGUUUCGGCAAGGGGGUCAUCCCGACUUACCAACCCGAUGCAAACUGCGAAUACCGGAGAAUGUUAUCACGGGAGACACACGGCGGGUGCUAACGUCCGUCGUGAAGAGGGAAACAACCCAGACCGCCAGCUAAGGUCCCAAAGUCAUGGUUAAGUGGGAAACGAUGUGGGAAGGCCCAGACAGCCAGGAUGUUGGCUUAGAAGCAGCCAUCAUUUAAAGAAAGCGUAAUAGCUCACUGGUCGAGUCGGCCUGCGCGGAAGAUGUAACGGGGCUAAACCAUGCACCGAAGCUGCGGCAGCGACACUAUGUGUUGUUGGGUAGGGGAGCGUUCUGUAAGCCUGUGAAGGUGUGCUGUGAGGCAUGCUGGAGGUAUCAGAAGUGCGAAUGCUGACAUAAGUAACGAUAAAGCGGGUGAAAAGCCCGCUCGCCGGAAGACCAAGGGUUCCUGUCCAACGUUAAUCGGGGCAGGGUGAGUCGACCCCUAAGGCGAGGCCGAAAGGCGUAGUCGAUGGGAAACAGGUUAAUAUUCCUGUACUUGGUGUUACUGCGAAGGGGGGACGGAGAAGGCUAUGUUGGCCGGGCGACGGUUGUCCCGGUUUAAGCGUGUAGGCUGGUUUUCCAGGCAAAUCCGGAAAAUCAAGGCUGAGGCGUGAUGACGAGGCACUACGGUGCUGAAGCAACAAAUGCCCUGCUUCCAGGAAAAGCCUCUAAGCAUCAGGUAACAUCAAAUCGUACCCCAAACCGACACAGGUGGUCAGGUAGAGAAUACCAAGGCGCUUGAGAGAACUCGGGUGAAGGAACUAGGCAAAAUGGUGCCGUAACUUCGGGAGAAGGCACGCUGAUAUGUAGGUGAAGCGACUUGCUCGUGGAGCUGAAAUCAGUCGAAGAUACCAGCUGGCUGCAACUGUUUAUUAAAAACACAGCACUGUGCAAACACGAAAGUGGACGUAUACGGUGUGACGCCUGCCCGGUGCCGGAAGGUUAAUUGAUGGGGUCAGCGCAAGCGAAGCUCUUGAUCGAAGCCCCGGUAAACGGCGGCCGUAACUAUAACGGUCCUAAGGUAGCGAAAUUCCUUGUCGGGUAAGUUCCGACCUGCACGAAUGGCGUAAUGAUGGCCAGGCUGUCUCCACCCGAGACUCAGUGAAAUUGAACUCGCUGUGAAGAUGCAGUGUACCCGCGGCAAGACGGAAAGACCCCGUGAACCUUUACUAUAGCUUGACACUGAACAUUGAGCCUUGAUGUGUAGGAUAGGUGGGAGGCUUUGAAGUGUGGACGCCAGUCUGCAUGGAGCCGACCUUGAAAUACCACCCUUUAAUGUUUGAUGUUCUAACGUUGACCCGUAAUCCGGGUUGCGGACAGUGUCUGGUGGGUAGUUUGACUGGGGCGGUCUCCUCCUAAAGAGUAACGGAGGAGCACGAAGGUUGGCUAAUCCUGGUCGGACAUCAGGAGGUUAGUGCAAUGGCAUAAGCCAGCUUGACUGCGAGCGUGACGGCGCGAGCAGGUGCGAAAGCAGGUCAUAGUGAUCCGGUGGUUCUGAAUGGAAGGGCCAUCGCUCAACGGAUAAAAGGUACUCCGGGGAUAACAGGCUGAUACCGCCCAAGAGUUCAUAUCGACGGCGGUGUUUGGCACCUCGAUGUCGGCUCAUCACAUCCUGGGGCUGAAGUAGGUCCCAAGGGUAUGGCUGUUCGCCAUUUAAAGUGGUACGCGAGCUGGGUUUAGAACGUCGUGAGACAGUUCGGUCCCUAUCUGCCGUGGGCGCUGGAGAACUGAGGGGGGCUGCUCCUAGUACGAGAGGACCGGAGUGGACGCAUCACUGGUGUUCGGGUUGUCAUGCCAAUGGCACUGCCCGGUAGCUAAAUGCGGAAGAGAUAAGUGCUGAAAGCAUCUAAGCACGAAACUUGCCCCGAGAUGAGUUCUCCCUGACUCCUUGAGAGUCCUGAAGGAACGUUGAAGACGACGACGUUGAUAGGCCGGGUGUGUAAGCGCAGCGAUGCGUUGAGCUAACCGGUACUAAUGAACCGUGAGGCUUAACCUU
rnacentral:rRNA from 1 species